GACAGAGGGUGCAAACGUUGUUCGGAAUUACUGGGCGUAAAGCGCGUGUAGGCGGCCCGGUAAGUCCGCUGUGAAAGUCGGGGGCUCAACCCUCGGAUGCCGGUGGAUACUGUCGGGCUAGAGUGCGGGAGAGGCGAGUGGAAUUCCUGGUGUAGCGGUGAAAUGCGCAGAUAUCAGGAGGAACACCAAUUGCGAAGGCAGCUCGCUGGAACGUUACUGACGCUGAGACGCGAAAGCGUGGGGAGCAAACAGG
rnacentral:rRNA from 1 species